rnacentral:rRNA from 1 species
GGAAAGCUUUUUUGUGGUUUUGGAUGGACUCGCGGCCUAUCAGCUUGUUGGUGAGGUAAUGGCUCACCAAGGCGACGACGGGUAGCCGGCCUGAGAGGGUGACCGGCCACACUGGGACUGAGACACGGCCCAGACUCCUACGGGAGGCAGCAGUGGGGAAUAUUGCACAAUGGGCGCAAGCCUGAUGCAGCGACGCCGCGUGAGGGAUGACGGCCUUCGGGUUGUAAACCUCUUUCAGUAGGGAAGAAGCGAAAGUGACGGUACCUGCAGAAGAAGCGCCGGCUAACUACGUGCCAGCAGCCGCGGUAAUACGUAGGGCGCAAGCGUUAUCCGGAAUUAUUGGGCGUAAAGAGCUCGUAGGCGGUUUGUCGCGUCUGCCGUGAAAGUCCGGGGCUCAACUCCGGAUCUGCGGUGGGUACGGGCAGACUAGAGUGAUGUAGGGGAGACUGGAAUUCCUGGUGUAGCGGUGAAAUGCGCAGAUAUCAGGAGGAACACCGAUGGCGAAGGCAGGUCUCUGGGCAUUAACUGACGCUGAGGAGCGAAAGCAUGGGGAGCGAACAGGAUUAGAUACCCUGGUAGUCCAUGCCGUAAACGUUGGGCACUAGGUGUGGGGGACAUUCCACGUUUUCCGCGCCGUAGCUAACGCAUUAAGUGCCCCGCCUGGGGAGUACGGCCGCAAGGCUAAAACUCAAAGGAAUUGACGGGGGCCCGCACAAGCGGCGGAGCAUGCGGAUUAAUUCGAUGCAACGCGAAGAACCUUACCAAGGCUUGACAUGAACCGGAAAUACCUGGAAACAGGUGCCCCGCUUGCGGUCGGUUUACAGGUGGUGCAUGGUUGUCGUCAGCUCGUGUCGUGAGAUGUUGGGUUAAGUCCCGCAACGAGCGCAACCCUCGUUCUAUGUUGCCAGCGCGUGAUGGCGGGGACUCAUAGGAGACUGCCGGGGUCAACUCGGAGGAAGGUGGGGACGACGUCAAAUCAUCAUGCCCCUUAUGUCUUGGGCUUCACGCAUGCUACAAUGGCCGGUACAAAGGGUUGCGAUACUGUGAGGUGGAGCUAAUCCCAAAAAGCCGGUCUCAGUUCGGAUUGGGGUCUGCAACUCGACCCCAUGAAGUCGGAGUCGCUAGUAAUCGCAGAUCAGCAACGCUGCGGUGAAUACGUUCCCGGGCCUUGUACACACC